rnacentral:tRNA from 1 species
UGAAUAAUAGUUUAAUAAAAAAAUAUUUAAUUUGCAUUUAAAAGAUAUUAUAAAAAAUUUAUUUAU